GAUGAACGCUGGCGGCGUGCCUAAUACAUGCAAGUCGAGCGAACGGACGAGAAGCUUGCUUCUCUGAUGUUAGCGGCGGACGGGUGAGUAACACGUGGAUAACCUACCUAUAAGACUGGGAUAACUUCGGGAAACCGUAGCUAAUACCGGAUAAUAUUUUGAACCGCAUGGUUCAAUAGUGAAAGACGGUCUUGCUGUCACUUAUAGAUGGAUCCGCGCUGCAUUAGCUAGUUGGUAAGGUAACGGCUUACCAAGGCAACGAUGCAUAGCCGACCUGAGAGGGUGAUAGGCCACACUGGAACUGAGACACGGUCCAGACUCCUACGGGAGGCAGCAGUAGGGAAUCGUCCGAAAUGGGCGAAAGCCUGACGGAGCAACGCCGCGUGAGUGAUGAAGGUCUUCGGAUCGUAAAACUCUGUUAUUAGGGAAGAACAUAUGUGUAAGUAACUGUGCACAUCUUGGCGGUACCUAAUCAGAAAGCCACGGCUAACUACGUG
rnacentral:rRNA from 1 species